rnacentral:rRNA from 1 species
UACGGGGGAGCAAGCGUUGUUCGGAUUUACUGGCGUAAAGGGCGCGUAGGCGGCCACCGCAAGUCGACUGUGAAAUCUCCGGGCUUAACCCGGAAAGGUCAGCCGAUACUGCGGGGCUAGAGUGCAGAAGGGGCAACUGGAAUUCUCGGUGUAGCGGUGAAAUGCGUAGAUAUCGAGAGGAACACCUGCGGCGAAGGCGGGUUGCUGGGCUGACACUGACGCUGGAGGCGCGAAAGCCAGGGGAGCAAACAGG